rnacentral:rRNA from 1 species
GUGCCAGCCGCCGCGGUAAUACGAAGGGGGCUAGCGUUGUUCGGAAUCACUGGGCGUAAAGCGCACGUAGGCGGACUUUUAAGUCAGGGGUGAAAUCCCGGGGCUCAACCUCGGAACUGCCUUUGAUACUGGAAGUCUGGAGUCCGAGAGAGGUGAGUGGAACUCCGAGUGUAGAGGUGAAAUUCGUAGAUAUUCGGAAGAACACCAGUGGCGAAGGCGGCUCACUGGCUCGGUACUGACGCUGAGGUGCGAAAGCGUGGGGAGCAAACAGG